rnacentral:misc_RNA from 1 species
GAUGAAGAACGUAGCGAAAUGCGAUAAGUAAUGUGAAUUGCAGAAUUCAGUGAAUCAUCGAAUCUUUGAACGCACCUUGCGCCCCUUGGUUAUUCCAAAGGGCAUGCCUGUUUGAGUAUCAUGAACACCUCAACUCUUGUGGUUUCCCACAAUGAGCUUGGACUGUGGAGGUUUUGUUGGCCCUGUGGUCAGCUCCUCUCAAAUGGAUCAGCUUACCGGUGUUUGGUGGCAUUACGGGUGUGAUAACUAUCUACGCUCGUGGUCGUCUCCAAAUAACCUCCAGUGAUGGAGGUUCGCUGGAGCUUAUUAAUGUCUCUCCCCAGUGAAGACAGCCUUUGAACGUUCGAUCUCAAAUCAGGUAGGACUACCCGCUGAACUUAAGCAUAUCAUAAGCGGAGGA